AACUAAAAGAAGCCAAUGUUAAAUUGUCUUGUUUAAUGUUAGGAGGAAGCUGAUGGGAAUAUCCUUAAAUCAAAGCUGAUACAAAACAGAAAUGUGUCCUAAGCGUCUGCUGUGUGUAGUAUCACCCUUAGUGGAUUUCAAACCCUUUCAUUUCCUGGUGAUCAGCUCUAGCUGUCUAGAGCAACGCAGACAAGUUGUAUUAACAUGGGCAAACUUAACAUGAGUUUCCUUUACAAGCUGGUGGUUCUUGGUAAGCUGAAUAACUUGUUCCAAGAAUGGAUUUCAGAAUUUGGUGAGAGCAAGAAUCUUCCCCCUUCAGCAGCAGCAAAUGUUGGUGUCAAAAUAUUUACCUUUGAUUCUUACAGGCUUGGAGUACACACUCAAGGUGCUGACAUAGAUGCUGUUUGUGUUGCUCCUAGACAUGUAGAAAGAUCGGAUUUUUUUCAGUUGUUCUUUGAAAAACUGAAACAUCAGGAGGAAAUAAAAAACC